rnacentral:lncRNA from 1 species
CUCAUUUGAUAUAUCAGACUUAGCACAAUUAUUCAAAAGGAUGAACUCGAAAGUGGUCUAUUGUUUUAAUCAGCGUCUAGUCAUUCACCUCUAACUGCCUAGUUUGUCUCGUGGUAGCGUGCUUGCCUUGAGUGCAUAAUUUCAUGGGUUCUAUGCUGUCAAACCAAAGACCUCAAAAUAGCACUGUUCCGCUAAGCCCUCAUAACGUAGGAAUAAGAACAAAGACUGCUUACAUUUGAUAUCAGCCUUUAUAUGAAAAGGUUAUACCGUCUGAUGCUUUUUUCAGAUUAAACCUCGUCCACUUCCUGUCUACUGAUGGCUGAUAUAUUCUUUUACAUAAUGGCCGUGUGUGAAAUUGUAGUUGCAAUUUUCUCAGGCAAUGAAAAUCAGGUUUUUUUAAAAAAAAAGAAUCUAGGUCUACAUGAAGGUCGAACCUCUAAACUAUGUAAGGCUUCAUCAAAAUUUCAAUGUUUUAGCCUAUCUGGGAUACAGCUUAAAAUUAUGAACUGAAUGUUAGGGUAUUGUUGGGGUCCCCCCUACAGCACCUCCUUACGAUAUUCUCAACAUGCAAGCAUGAAUAAUUAUAAUUUGCAGUCUUAAAUUUUUACAUAAAUCAUUGGGAUCAAGCGUUAAUUUAUAAUGUACAUUCUUGAACCAUGUGAUUGUUUAGUGCAGUUUUGUCAGAAUUUAUUAGUAUGAUAAUGGUUAUUGAACAAUGUAAAUGUUCCAAGCAAUUUUUUGUAUGUUCUGAAUUAAGUUUGUUUUUAGAUAAGAAUCAUGCAAUUGAUUUUUAAUGCAUACAUACAUAUACUGAUGCUUUUGUUGUUCCUUUCAUUCUGAAGCAAAUUUGUGACAAUGCAAUUGUUCACUGCAUUCUAUUGUAGAUAUUUGAGUUUGAGUUUGUAUUGCGUUAUCAUGUAGAUUUAUUUAAUUUGAUGUUAGUGCUUUAAUCUUAAAAGCAGAUUAUUUAGUCAUUUAAUUAUUCAUUAUAUUUAUAUUUUAAUUCAUCACAUUCUUCCUAAGUAAUAUAAAACAAGGAACAUUUCUGUGCAUUCUAAUGUAGAAAAUUGAGACACUUGAUUGAUUGUUCUAGACUAGUCCCAUUUACAUUCGGACAUUGGACUGUGCAGUGCAUUGAGGCAUGCUCUGGAGUCUUUAUUUUUUCAGUGAGUUUUACUGUUGAUUCAUAAUUUGUCAUUUGAUUGUAUAUAUAUAUGUUUAUUUGGAUAUUUAAUUGUUCAGUGCAUUUUCGAACAAAAUUAUGAUGUAUUCAUUCUUAUAUAAAUUCUUGACUUGGAAUUUUAGAGCAUUUUUGUUAAGCAUCGGGAGUCAUCUGAUGUGAAGGUAAUUUUUAUAGGGUUUUCUGAUGAAAAUCUGGUAAUCUUUUUUUGGGUUGUACGGCGAAAAGGAGGCAACUGUAUGGCCUGUUCAAAAACUGAUGAACCAUUCAAUAAUUUACACUUUUAAGAUAUGUUGUAAUUAAUAGUGACAAAAUUGAGGUCAAGUGUGAUAUUGAAUAUUUUAUUUUUUUGGAUUUUUACUUUUGUCUUCCAGAUAAUUGAUUGGUCGAACAAGCGAUUUUGUGUCAUUUCAAUACAAUAAGUUUAUAAUCUUUCAAACAAUGCUUUUGAAAUUUUAGAAAAAUUUCAUGAUCUUUUAACUGAUAAUAACAAAAAUUACAGAGAAAUUUCUAAUAUACGACUUUCAAGUAAUGCCUUCAAUCUUUUUAAAAUAACACUAAUACAUGUAAUGAACACUCAGUUUUAUGUCAUUUUGACAGAUUCUUGUAAUUUAGAUUCAUAUGAUAUUUCAGUACAUUUUUAUAUGACAGCAGAUUUUUUUUGGGUCGUUUUGGUAUCGCGCCAUCGUCUUCGUCGUGUCGUCUUCCGAAGACACAUUGGUGUCCGGUUUAGUUUAAGUAAAUGGAUCUCUAUGAAAUUUUACCAUAAGGUUGAAUACCACAAAAGAAAGGUUGGGAUUGAUUUUGGGGGUUAUGAUACCAACAUUUUAGGAAUAAGGGCCAAAAACUAGCAUUUUUUUGUAAUUUCCAGACAAUAACAAUGUUCCAUAUCACAAGAGAGAAGGCUUGAAUUGAUUUUUGGGGGUAAUUGCCCCAAACGUUUAGGAAUUAGGGUUUCAAAAAGGGGGGGGGGAAGAUAAGCCUAUUUUUUAGUUUCCGGACAAUAACUUGUGUGUACGUUUAUGGAUCUCUCUGAAAUUGUACAAAAAGGUUUGGAUUGAGUUUGGGGGUAAUUGCCAAAAAAGUUUAGGAAUUAGGGGCCAAAAAACAAGCAUUUUUCUAGUUUCCAGACAAUAACUUGUGUUCAAGUGUAUGGAUCUCUCUGAAAUUGUACUACAAGGUCCCAUACCACAGAGGAAAGGCUGGGAUUGAGUUUGGGGGUGAUGACUCAUACAAUGUAAUGGAGUUCAAAAUUUUGAGGGGGUAUUUGUUCACAAUUUUUUUUCAUAUUUUUCUUUCUGAAAAUGAUCCAUUUUUACAUUAAUUAUUUCUGAUUUUGUUUUUUGUCAAUGGAUUUAUGAGUUUGAACAUCGGUAUACUACUGUUGCCUUUAUUUAUAUUUAAAAGCAAAUAAUAAAGAUAUGGCACGAGAUACAUACCAAACAGUAUGUGCAAACCAUUAUAUUAAGUAUUGUACACUAGUAGAUAUUGUGCAAUAGCAAGAAAUCUUCCAUUGCAGAGUAUUCACAAUAGCUAGAAAUCUUCAACUGCAUAGUAUUGUGCAAUAGCAAGAAAUCAUCAAUUGUACAGUAUUGCGCAAUAGCAAGAAAUCUUCAAUUGUACAGUAUUGAGCAAUAGCAAGAAAUAUCCAAUUUCACAUUAUUGUGCUAUUGCACAUUAUUACACAAUAGCAAGAAAUCUUCAAUUGCACAGUAUUGCACAACGCAAGAAAUCUUCAAUUGCACAGUAUUGCACAACGCAAGAAAUAUUCAAUUGCACAGUAUUGCGCAAUAGCAAAAAAAAAUCAAUCAUAUUGCACAGUAUUGCGCAAUAGCAAGAAAUCUUCAUUUGCAAAGUAUUGUUCAAUAUCACAGUAUUGCGCAAUAGCAAGAAAUCUUCAAUUGAAAUUUAAUACAAAUCAUUUAACCCAUUUAAAAUUUUAAGAUAAAUCACCACAUCUAUUUUGUGUCAGAAACCUAUAUUAUGUCAAUAAUCUGAUCACAAUCCAAAUUCAGACAGUAUCAGGCUUAAAUAUUGUUUCCAAACUUGCACCAACUGUUCAGGGUUUGACCUCGGGCCUCACGGUCAUAACACUUUCGAGUAUGAUUUUUGUACUCAGACUCGAAAAUUAACCAAUCAAAUUGCUGGAUUUCAUGUUUCGAGCAUGAUUUUUGUACUCUGAGCACUGAGCAAAGUUUAAUGCCUUCAAGUCCUGAUGUCGUAUUUUUUUAUUUAGGCUAUUUAGUCAUUUGACUGUUUAACACAUUCUUACAUGUAAUCAUAAGCUAUUCCAACAUUGAUUAGACAAAUAAUGUACUGCUUAGUAUAUAUAAAAAUGACAUUUAAAAGAAUGUAUUUUAUAUAAUUUAUGUUGUUAUAUUUUCUUUUUGAUCUGGAUACACCUUAAAAAAUUAACCUUACUAAAUAGAUGUAUGUAAUUCUGAAUGUAUUGAAGGAUUUCAGAAAGAUUUUUUACCCGAUGUAUUGUUUAGCCAUAGUGAAAUUCUUUUGAAAUAUUUUUUUUAUGAUUCUCAGAUCAAUAAUAUAUGUGUAUAUUACUACUUUUACAAAUAUGUUAUAAAAAUAAAUAUCAUACCUGAGUAUAGAAUGUAUAAUAUACUACUUUUUCCACUUUGGAUGCCCUUCACAAACUUGGAUACCAUAAUUAAAUGCUGGUACAAAGUGUAUAUGCAUUUGAUUUGUCAUACUUUAG